UAGAGUGGUGAUCUGGUUUGCUCAGUCUGUCAGUGGUAAAACAGCAGUUUUAGUGGACGGAAAUUGAUGAUGCGCAUUUGCCCUAUAUGAUUACAUUGCAGCCCGGUUCGCAGCUGCUGAUCAAAGGGUU